GAUGAACGCUGGCGGCGUGCCUAAUACAUGCAAGUCGAGCGAACAGACGAGGAGCUUGCUCCUCUGACGUUAGCGGCGGACGGGUGAGUAACACGUGGAUAACCUACCUAUAAGACUGGGAUAACUUCGGGAAACCGGAGCUAAUACCGGAUAAUAUAUUGAACCGCAUGGUUCAAUAGUGAAAGACGGUUUUGCUGUCACUUAUAGAUGGAUCCGCGCCGCAUUAGCUAGUUGGUAAGGUAACGGCUUACCAAGGCAACGAUGCGUAGCCGACCUGAGAGGGUGAUCGGCCACACUGGAACUGAGACACGGUCCAGACUCCUACGGGAGGCAGCAGUAGGGAAUCUGCCGCAAUGGGCGAAAGCCUGACGGAGCAACGCCGCGUGAGUGAUGAAGGUCUUCGGAUCGUAAAACUCUGUUAUUAGGGAAGAACAAAUGUGUAAGUAACUGUGCACGUCUUGACGGUACCUAAUCAGAAAGCCACGGCUAACUACGUG
rnacentral:rRNA from 1 species